ACGACCGUCAAGCCUGGCUUGGUGUUGGGCGACGUCCCAUUUCUGGGACGCGCCUUGAAAUGCUCGGCGGCGUGGCACCGGCUUUAAGCGUAGCAGAAACUUUCGCUUUAAAAGUCGGGGCCCCGUCUGCCGGAAGACCUACUUUUAA
rnacentral:misc_RNA from 1 species